rnacentral:rRNA from 1 species
UAGGGAAUCUUCGGCAAUGGGGGGAACCCUGACCGAGCAACGCCGCGUGAGUGAAGAAGGUUUUCGGAUCGUAAAGCUCUGUUGUUAAGGAAGAACGAGUGUGAGAAUGGAAAGUUCAUACUGUGACGGUACUUAACCAGAAAGGGACGGCUAACUACGUGCCAGCAGCCGCGGUAAUACGUAGGUCCCGAGCGUUGUCCGGAUUUAUUGGGCGUAAAGCGAGCGCAGGCGGUUAGAUAAGUCUGAAGUUAAAGGCAGUGGCUCAACCAUUGUAGGCUUUGGAAACUGUUUAACUUGAGUGCAGAAGGGGAGAGUGGAAUUCCAUGUGUAGCGGUGAAAUGCGUAGAUAUAUGGAGGAACACCGGUGGCGAAAGCGGCUCUCUGGUCUGUAACUGACGCUGAGGCUCGAAAGCGGGGGGAGCGAACAGG